AUUGAACGCUGGCGGCAUGCCUUACACAUGCAAGUCGAACGGCAGCAUGAUCUAGCUUGCUAGAUUGAUGGCGAGUGGCGAACGGGUGAGUAAUACAUCGGAACGUGCCCUGUAGUGGGGGAUAACUAGUCGAAAGUUUAGCUAAUACCGCAUACGACCUGAGGGUGAAAGUGGGGGACCGCAAGGCCUCAUGCUAUAGGAGCGGCCGAUGUCUGAUUAGCUAGUUGGUGAGGUAAAGGCUCACCAAGGCGACGAUCAGUAGCUGGUCUGAGAGGACGAUCAGCCACACUGGGACUGAGACACGGCCCAGACUCCUACGGGAGGUAGCAGUGGGGAAUUUUGGACAAUGGGGCAACCCUGAUCCAGCAAUGCCGCGUGUGUGAGGAAGGCCUUCGGGUUGUAAAGCACUUUUGUCCGGAAAGAAAUCGCACUUACUAAUAUUAGGUGUGGAUGACGGUACCGGAAGAAUAAGGACCGGCUAACCACGUGCCAGCCGCCGCAGUAAAAC
rnacentral:rRNA from 1 species